UACGAGGGGGGGCUAGCGUUGCUCGGAAUCACUGGGCGUAAAGCGCACGUAGGCGGCUUUUUAAGUCAGGGGUGAAAUCCUGGAGCUCAACUCCAGAACUGCCUUUGAUACUGAGGAUCUUGAGUUCGGGGAGAGGUGAGUGGAACUGCGAGUGUAGAGGUGAAAUUCGUAGAUAUUCGGCAAGAACACCAGUGGCGGAAGGCGG
rnacentral:rRNA from 1 species